rnacentral:rRNA from 1 species
AGAGUUUGAUCCUGGCUCAGAGCGAACGCUGGCGGCGUGCUUAACACAUGCAAGUCGAACGCGCAGCAUUCUGUAGCAAUACAGGGUGUGGGCGCGUGGCGAACGGGUGCGUAACACGUGGAUAACCUUCCUUGAGGUGGGGAAUAACCCAGUGAAAAUUGGGCUAAUACCGCAUAACAUCGCGAUGGCACAUGCUGAUGCGAUCAAAGGCGCAAGUCGCCACAAGAGGGAUCCGCGGCCGAUUAGCUAGUUGGCGAGGUAAUGGCUCACCAAGGCAAUGAUCGGUAGCCGGACUGAGAGGUUGGCCGGCCACACUGGAACUGAGACACGGUCCAGACUCCUACGGGAGGCAGCAGUGGGGAAUCUUGCACAAUGGACGAAAGUCUGAUGCAGCAACGCCGCGUGGGGGAUGAAGCUUCUCGGAGUGUAAACCCCUUUCGACCCGGAAGAAUGCCCGCAAGGGUAUGACGGUACGGGUAUAAGAAGCCCCGGCUAACUACGUGCCAGCAGCCGCGGUAAUACGUAGGGGGCCAGCGUUGCUCGGAAUUACUGGGCGUAAAGGGUCCGUAGGCGGUGUAGCAAGUCGAUAGUGAAAUCUCUGCGCUUAACGCAGAGGCUGCUAACGAAACUGCUGUGCUAGAGUGUGAGAGAGGCGAGUGGAAUUACGGGUGUAGCGGUGAAAUGCGUAGAUAUCCGUAGGAACAUCCGAGGCGAAGGCGGCUCGCUGGAUCACAACUGACGCUGAGGGACGAAAGCUAGGGGAGCAAACAGGAUUAGAUACCCUGGUAGUCCUAGCCCUAAACCAUCAGGACUUGGGGUUUGCCCUGUACGGGGCAAGUCCCGUAGCUAACGCGUUAAGUCCUGCGCCUGGGGAGUACGGUCGCAAGGCUGAAACUCAAAGGAAUUGACGGGGCCCGCACAAGCGGUGGAACAUGUGGUUCAAUUCGACGCAACGCGAAGAACCUUACCUGGGCUUGAACCGCACAGGACCAGCUCCAGAAAUGGGGUC